GUCGUGAGAUGUUGGGUUAAGUCCCGCAACGAGCGCAACCCUCGUCCUAUGUUGCCAGCGGGUAAUGCCGGGGACUCGUAGGAGACUGCCGGGGUCAACUCGGAGGAAGGUGGGGAUGACGUCAAGUCAUCAUGCCCCUUAUAUCUAGGGCUGCAAACAUGCUACAAUGGCUGGUACAACGGGCUGCAAUACCGCGAGGUGGAGCAAAUCCCUUAAAGCCAGUCUCAGUUCGGAUUGGAGUCUGCAACUCGACUCCAUGAAGUCGGAGUCGCUAGUAAUCCCGGAUCAGCUACGCCGGGGUGAAUACGUUCCCGGGCCUUGUACACACCGCCCGUCACACCACGAAAGUCGGCAACACCCGAAGUCAGUGGCCCAACCCGCAAGGGGGGGAGCUGCCGAAGGUGGGGUUGGUGAUUGGGGUGAAGUCGUAACAAGGUAGCCGUAGGGGAACCUGCGGCUGGAUCACCUCCUUUCUGGAGCGACGAGUAAACGGCCCGACUUGCCGCGGCCGCCGAAAGUCCUCAGAAGUCGCCCGCACUCUCCACUACUCGCUCGCAUCAUUUCUUUUGUCGGCCCGUGCGCGGGCCGACCUGCUCUUUGACAAUUGAGGGAUGGAUGGUGUGUCCGGGCCUUCGGGCUCGGACGGGUGUGAGGAAUCAACACCGGUCGCACGCCACGAUCGCAGUGGGGUGUGACGACGAAUUUGAGAUCAAACGCAAUAAGGCACACGGCGGAUGCCUUGGCAUCGAGAGGCGAUGAAGGGCGUGAUAAGCUGCGAUAAGCCUGGGGGAGCUGCACAUGAGCCGUAAUCCCAGGAUGC
rnacentral:sRNA from 1 species